AUUGAACGCUGGCGGAAUGCUUUACACAUGCAAGUCGAACGAUGAACCUUAGCUUGCUAAGGGGAUUAGUGGCGAACGGGUGAGUAAUAUAUCGGAACGUGCCUUGUAAUGGGGGAUAACUAGUCGAAAGAUUAGCUAAUACCGCAUACGCCCUGAGGGGGAAAGUAGGGGAUCUUCGGACCUUACGUUAUAAGAGCGGCCGAUAUCUGAUUAGCUAGUUGGUGGGGUAAUGGCCUACCAAGGCGACGAUCAGUAGCUGGUCUGAGAGGACGACCAGCCACACUGGAACCGAGACACGGUCCAGACUCCUACGGGAGGCAGCUGUGGGGAAUUUUGGACAAUGGGCGCAAGCCUGAUCCAGCCAUUCCGCGUGAGUGAAGAAGGCCUUCGGGUUGUAAAGCUCUUUCGCAAGGGAAGAAAACUUACCAUCGAAUAAAUGGUGAGGCUGACGGUACCUUGAUAAGAAGCACCGGCUAACUACGUG
rnacentral:rRNA from 1 species